CACCGCGGGUACGGAUGCUGGGCCUCAGGAAGGGGGCGUGGCAGACAUCAACGAUGUGCCGCAGCACAUAGAAGUGAAUUUGCGCUACAUCACUACAGCGCAAGGCACACUUACAUGCUUGGAGACAUUCGGCGCGCUCGGCGUCAUGGUUCUGUACCUGCUCAUGGCGCAGACCAUCACGUAUCAGUGGUACGCGCGCGUGGCGUUCCUGAUCGCCUUCACCUACGGCCUCAACAACGUGCUCAUCAUCAUCUCUGGUGUGGCGUCGCCCUGCACGCAGCUACACCUUCCGGAAACGCUUUUCGUUAUUUUGACUGGCGUCGGAGUGAUCCAUUGCUUCCACAGUCUUGUCAACUUCAUCAAAUGAACGCGAUGUCAUAAAUAUGCGUUGAUUAGCCCAUCACUUAAGUUUCGAAAA
rnacentral:lncRNA from 1 species